AAGUCGUAACAAGGUUUCCGUAGGGUAUGUUUUAACCAUCCCCUGAACUUUGUAUAGAGCUCCUACUAACGUCUUCUAGUGAACCUGCGGAAGGAUCAUUAAUGAGUUAGGGUCUUCUAGGCCCGAUCUCCAACCCUUUGUUUAACUACCCUGUUGCUUUGACGGGCCUGUCUCAUCGGACGUCAGGGGGUCCCUCUUGGACCUCUUGCCAGUGCCCGUCAGUAGCCAUCCAUAAACUCCUCUGAAUCAUGUCAUGUCUAAAAACCAUAUAUACAAAUAAGCAAAAACUUUCAACAACGG
rnacentral:misc_RNA from 1 species